UUUACCUAACUAGAGGUGUCACAGGUGUGGCUCCUGUGUCACAUUUGUGUCAGUUGGUGGCAGAAAAGAGAAAGGCUAUGUCUGUGCUCAGUGUUCUGACCUGUCGACAUCUGAAUGAUUAGUAGCCUAACAUU